GAAUAUUGGACAAUGGGGGGAACCCUGAUCCAGCCAUGCCGCGUGUGUGAAGAAGGCCUUUUGGUUGUAAAGCACUUUAAGCGAGGAGGAGGCUACUCUAGUUAAUACCUAGAGAUAGUGGACGUUACUCGCAGAAUAAGCACCGGCUAACUCUGUGCCCGCAGCCGCGGUAAUACAGAGGGUGCAAGCGUUAAUCGGAUUUACUGGGCGUAAAGCGGGCGGAAGGGGCCAAUUUAGUCAAAUGGGAAAUCCCCGAGCUUAACUUGGGAAUUGGAUUCGAUACUGGGUGGCUUGAGGAUGGGAGAAGAUGGUAGAAUUCCAGGUGGAGCGGGUAAAUGCGGAGAGAUCUGGAGGAAAACCGAUUGGGAAGGCAGCCAUCUUGGCUAAUACUGACACUGAGGGGCGAAAGCAUGGGGAGCAAAC
rnacentral:rRNA from 1 species